rnacentral:rRNA from 1 species
CGGGUGAGUAACGCGUGGAUAACCUGCCGUAUGCAGGGGGAUACCAACUGGAAACAGUUGCUAAUACCGCAUAAGCGCACAGUACCGCAUGGUAUAGUGUGAAAAGAUUUAUCGGCAUACGAUGGAUCCGCGUCCGAUUAGCCAGUUGGCGGGGUAGAAGCCCACCAAAGCGACGAUCGGUAGCCGGCCUGAGAGGGCGGACGGCCACAUUGGGACUGAGACACGGCCCAAACUCCUACGGAAGGCAGCAG